rnacentral:rRNA from 1 species
CCUACGGGAGGCAGCAGUGAGGAAUAUUGGUCAAUGGACGAGAGCCUGAACCAGCCAAGUAGCGUGAAGGAUGACUGCCCUAUGGGUUGUAAACUUCUUUUAUAUGUGAGUAAAAUGUUCCACGUGUGGGAUUUUGUAUGUACCAUAUGAAUAAGGAUCGGCUAACUCCGUGCCAGCAGCCGCGGUAAUUCGGAGGGUCCGAGCGUUAUCCGGAUUUAUUGGGUUUAAAGGGAGCGUAGGUGGAUUGUUAAGUCAGUUGUGAAAGUUUGUGGCUCAACCGUAAAAUUGCAGUUGAAACUGGCAGUCUUGAGUACAGUAGAGGUGGGCGGAAUUCGUGGUGUAGCGGUGAAAUGCUUAGAUAUCACGAAGAACUCCGAUUGCGAAGGCAGCUCACUGGACUGCAACUGACACUGAGGCUCGAAAGUGUGGGUAUCAAACAGGAUUAGAUACCCGGGUAGUC